rnacentral:rRNA from 1 species
CCUACGGGUGGCAGCAGUGAGGAAUAUUGGUCAAUGGACGAGAGUCUGAACCAGCCAAGUAGCGUGAAGGAUGACUGCCCUAUGGGUUGUAAACUGCUUGUAUAAAGGAAUAAAACGAGGCACGUGUGCCUUUUUGCAGGUACUUUAUGAAUAAGGAUCGGCUAACUCCGUGCCAGCAGCCGCGGUAAUACGGAGGCUCCGAGCGUUAUCCGGAUUUAUUGGGUUUAAAGGGAGCGUAGAUGGGUUGUUAAGUCAGUUGUGAAAGUUUGCGGCUCAACCGUCAAAUUGCCAUUGAUACUGGCAGUCUUGAUUACACUUGCGGUAGGCGGAAUUCGUGGUGUAGCGGU